rnacentral:rRNA from 1 species
GUGCCUAACACAUGCAAGUCGAGCGGAGCGGCAGCUGUAGCAAUACAGUAUGUGCUCAGCGGCAGACGGGUGAGUAACACGUAGACAAUUUACCUCUUAGCGGGGGAUAGCCCGCCGAAAGGCGGGGUAAUACCGCGUACGUACUUUUUCCGGCAUCGGAGAAAGUAGAAACACCCGCAAAGGUGACUGAGAGAAAUGUCUGCGGCCUAUCAGCUAGUUGGUGAGGUAACGGCUCACCAAGGCUACGACGGGUAUCCGGCCUGAAAGGGCGAACGGACACACUGACACUGAGACACGGGUCAG